GACGAACGCUGGCGGCGUGCUUAACACAUGCAAGUCGAACGGAAAGGCCCCUUUGGGGGUACUCGAGUGGCGAACGGGUGAGUAACACGUGAGUAACCUGCCCUUGACUUCGGGAUAACUUCAGGAAACUGGGGCUAAUACCGGAUAGGAAUCCUUGCUGCAUGGUGGGGGUUGGAAAGCUUCGGCGGUUUUGGAUGGACUCGCGGCUUAUCAGCUUGUUGGUGGGGUAGUGGCUUACCAAGGCUUUGACGGGUAGCCGGCCUGAGAGGGCGACCGGCCACAUUGGGACUGAGGUACGGCCCAGACUCCUACGGGAGGCAGCAGUGGGGAAUAUUGCACAAUGGGCGGAAGCCUGAUGCAGCAACGCCGCGUGCGGGAUGACGGCCUUCGGGCUGUAAACCGCUUUCAGCAGGGGCGAAGCUUGUGGUGACGGUACCUGCAGAAGAAGCACCGGCUAACUACGUG
rnacentral:rRNA from 1 species